GCUGGGUGGAUCAGUGGCGAACGGGUGAGUAACACGUGAGCAACCUGCCCCUGACUCUGGGAUAAGCGCUGGAAACGGCGUCUAAUACUGGAUACGAGUAGCGACCGCAUGGUCAGUUACUGGAAAGAUUUAUUGGUUGGGGAUGGGCUCGCGGCCUAUCAGCUUGUUGGUGAGGUAAUGGCUCACCAAGGCGUCGACGGGUAGCCGGCCUGAGAGGGUGACCGGCCACACUGGGACUGAGACACGGCCCAGACUCCUACGGGAGGCAGCAGUGGGGAAUAUUGCACAAUGGGCGCAAGCCUGAUGCAGCAACGCCGCGUGAGGGAUGACGGCCUUCGGGUUGUAAACCUCUUUUAGCAGGGAAGAAGCGAAAGUGACGGUACCUGCAGAAAAAGCGCCGGCUAACUACGUGCCAGCAGCCGCGGUAAUACGUAGGGCGCAAGCGUUAUCCGGAAUUAUUGGGCGUAAAGAGCUCGUAGGCGGUUUGUCGCGUCUGCUGUGAAAUCCGGAGGCUCAACCUCCGGCCUGCAGUGGGUACGGGCAGACUAGAGUGCGGUAGGGGAGAUUGGAAUUCCUGGUGUAGCGGUGGAAUGCGCAGAUAUCAGGAGGAACACCGAUGGCGAAGGCAGAUCUCUGGGCCGUAACUGACGCUGAGGAGCGAAAGGGUGGGGAGCAAACAGGCUUAGAUACCCUGGUAGUCCACCCCGUAAACGUUGGGAACUAGUUGUGGGGUCCAUUCCACGGAUUCCGUGACGCAGCUAACGCAUUAAGUUCCCCGCCUGGGGAGUACGGCCGCAAGGCUAAAACUCAAAGGAAUUGACGGGGACCCGCACAAGCGGCGGAGCAUGCGGAUUAAUUCGAUGCAACGCGAAGAACCUUACCAAGGCUUGACAUAUACGAGAACGGGCCAGAAAUGGUCAACUCUUUGGACACUCGUAAACAGGUGGUGCAUGGUUGUCGUCAGCUCGUGUCGUGAGAUGUUGGGUUAAGUCCCGCAACGAGCGCAACCCUCGUUCUAUGUUGCCAGCACGUAAUGG
rnacentral:rRNA from 1 species